AGAGUAUGAUCCUGGCUCAGAUUGAACGCUGGCGGCAGGCCUAACACAUGCAAGUCGAGCGGAAACGAUCCUAGCUUGCUAGGAGGCGUCGAGCGGCGGACGGGUGAGUAACGCGUGAGAAUCUACCCAUGAGUGGGGGACAACCCGGGGAAACUCGGGCUAAUACCGCAUACGCCCUACGGGGUAAAGCAGGGGACCUUCGGGCCUUGCGCUGAUGGAUGAGCUCGCGUCGGAUUAGCUUGUUGGUGAGGUAAAGGCUCACCAAGGCGACGAUCCGUAGCUGGUCUGAGAGGAUGAUCAGCCACACCGGGACUGAGACACGGCCCGGACUCCUACGGGAGGCAGCAGUGGGGAAUCUUGGACAAUGGGGGCAACCCUGAUCCAGCCAUGCCGCGUGUGUGAAGAAGGCCUUCGGGUUGUAAAGCACUUUCAGCAGGGAGGAAGGCUUACCCCUAAUACGGGUGAGUACUUGACGUUACCUGCAGAAGAAGCACCGGCUAAUUUCGUGCCAGCAGCCGCGGUAAUACGAAAGGUGCAAGCGUUAAUCGGAAUUACUGGGCGUAAAGCGCGCGUAGGCGGUGUGUUAAGUCGGAUGUGAAA
rnacentral:rRNA from 1 species